rnacentral:rRNA from 1 species
GAUGAACGCUGGCGGCGUGCCUAAUACAUGCAAGUCGAGCGAACAGACGAGGAGCUUGCUCCUCUGACGUUAGCGGCGGACGGGUGAGUAACACGUGGAUAACCUACCUAUAAGACUGGGAUAACUUCGGGAAACCGGAGCUAAUACCGGAUAAUAUAUUGAACCGCAUGGUUCAAUAGUGAAAGACGGUUUUGCUGUCACUUACAGAUGGAUCCGCGCCGCAUUAGCUAGUUGGUAAGGUAACGGCUUACCAAGUCAACGAUGCGUAGCCGACCUGAGAGGGUGAUCGGCCACACUGGAACUGAGACACGGUCCAGACUCCUACGGGAGGCAGCAGUAGGGAAUCUUCCGCAAUGGGCGAAAGCCUGACGGAGCAACGCCGCGUGAGUGAUGAAGGUCUUCGGAUCGUAAAACUCUGUUAUUAGGGAAGAACAAAUGUGUAAGUAACUAUGCACGUCUUGACGGUACCUAAUCAGAAAGCCACGGCUAACUACGUG